rnacentral:rRNA from 1 species
GUGCCAGCCGCCGCGGUAAUACCGGCAGCCCGAGUGAUGGCCGAUCUUAUUGGGCCUAAAGCGUCCGUAGCUGGCUGCGCAAGUCCGUCGGGAAAUCCACCUGCCCAACAGGUGGGCGUCCGGCGAAAACUGUGUGGCUUGGGACCGGAAGGCUCGAAGGGUACGUUCGGGGUAGGAGUGAAAUCCCAUAAUCCCGCACGGACCACCGGUGGCGAAAGCACUUCGAGAAAACGGAUCCGACAGUGAGGGACGAAAGCCAGGGUCUCCAACCGGAUUAGAUACCCGAGUAGUCC